UCCCAUGUCGUUAAGGUGACUAAAAUAUUUAAAUUUAGUUACUUUCUCGCUAAAUUACCAACACUUCUCAGCUAUGUUUUUUUUAAGCAAGAAAUAACUAUAGGCAACGUCGAGCAGGCUCAAUACAGGUGUAUUUAGGAUCUCCUUUAGUAUGCACCUCUACCGAUCGAUGCUUGAAAAGGAUGUGUUAUAACCAUGCAUAUACAGUUGACUCCCAUUAAUUCGACCCUUGUGGAACCGCUAGAUUUCGUCGAAUUAUCCAAAAGUCGAAUUAACCAAUAAUGGUCGGGAAGUAGUAUUUUAUUUUCGACGGGCUGCUUCAAUGCGGUAUUAGAAUAACUAUAUGCCAUGGCAUACCUCAACCAUGUCAUGGGCGCUGAUAAAAUCCUCAAAACAGGUAUCGCCCAUGGAACAGCGCAAGUCGUCAUCAUCACGACAGUACAAGUUGCUGUCGUCGCCUUGGGAAGCAGUAGCGCCGUCUCCUGAAUUAAUUGUGUUUUCGAGCGUUUAGUAACCCCUGUGUGCAUGAGGGAGCGCCGGUGGGGAUAGAAUUAAUCGAAGUGGCGUGCUUUCGUGUUCGAACUAAACAUGUUUUUCUUCCAUAGCGAUGUAUAGAUUCUCGCCGACACCUUCCAAUGCGCUUUGUGUACGUCUGAAGUCUGUUCUUUACGUCGGUGUAGAAAGUAUUGCUUCAUAGCGCAGUGUUUCAUCACGACGUUCGUAUUAAGCGAAAAGUCGAAUUAACCGAGGUCAGUUUAGCGGGAGUUGACUCCAGAGUUGCACAAACAGCGCGACUGAUACCAGGACACACAUGGAAAUAAAUAUCAUAUAACAAGUAUUUAUGUUUCGGUGUGUCCUUGUAUCAGCCGCGCUAUUUGAGUAUAGUUCUGAAGAUAAGAAACUAGUACUCACCAAGAUCUUAUUAAAGGGAGUUGACUGUUAUGGCAGUUUCGCGAACCUUAUUUAAGGCGUGUCCCAGCGCAUACUUUAAUGUUUUAAGGACGUCGUAACCCGAGGCAUAUUUCGGGUGGCGGGCGGUGUCAGCUGGUGUUUAGCGGUGUCUCAGGGAUACUCUUGCGGUGUCAAAAAAAUAAAAAAAAAAUAAAUAAACACAUUACACAAAUGCAGCUAAGUCGCUGCAGCAAUAUGCAAAUGUGCAUGUUGGUUUUAAGCACGCUGUAUGUGAUGGAAAGACCUUCGUUUUCCUGGUGAUUAACUCAUCUGAUAUUACGGGUAAGAGCGCGUAGAAGUAGCGAACCAGGCGUUCCACCAGUGCGAAGAAGAAAAAAGACGUUGCAGCACGUGCUCUCCUUAUGAGACGCAGCGGCCGCAUCAGCAUCGGCAUCAAAGGUUCGAACCAGCUGGUGAGCGGCCGUGCUGACGUGUCAUGUUCUUCAAAAGCUGCGCUCCGACGUCAAUUGCUGCGACAGAGUUUGGAGGACUCGCUAUGUCCAUGGACGGCUCUAGCGACUUCCCGAGCAGCCGGACCCACCACCUACAGGGCAAACUCGCGAGGAGGACAGCGCUGAAAACUUCUUCGGCAGCUACGUUCCGGUGGGGUGGCAAGUCUAACCAGGUGCAUCCUCGCUCCCGUCAGGCUGCAAGUUUCGGUCGCGGAAACCGAGCCUCGACUCGGACUCUCUGGGCCCCUGGGAGACCGAUGUCGGGACCGAAGGCGACGAAGCGGACGGGCACGCUCCAAACUGGGUGUCGGCGGCGCCUGGAUACAACGCAAGACGACGCCGCAGCUCCGGAAGUGGCACGACUCCCAAGGGCGAGCAUGUCGAGCAGGUGCGGUGUGGAGGAAAUGACGCGGGCGCAGUCUCGGCGCAACCACGUCGCAGGGCUUCACUUGUGUUGAAGACUAGACGCCGACGUGGAAGCCUGGAUGAGGGUGCGCCUUUCAAGGCGUUCGACCGGCUUCGACCGAACGCCGAGACAAAGCCGACUGCCGCGGUGGAGUACCGGCUGGGAGACGAGUCGCAUUCGGCCGAAAACGCUUUCGUACGAAUGUGCCGUUAUCGCGGACGUAUUUUUAUUGGCACUUCUAAAUGAAGUUACUACCGGUACGGUAAUAAAUGCAUUGAAUGCGUGA